rfam:Acidobacteria bacterium 13_2_20CM_2_57_6 13_2_20cm_2_scaffold_46, whole genome shotgun sequence.
GGAGGCGAAAGGGGUCGGGUGACCCUCGUGGUCUUCAAAACCAUAGCCCGUGUCCUUCGCGGAUUCGGGGGUGGGUUCGACUCCCACACGCUUCC